rnacentral:rRNA from 1 species
CGCGGCCUAUCAGCUUGUUGGUGGGGUGAUGGCCUACCAAGGCGACGACGGGUAGCCGGCCUGAGAGGGCGACCGGCCACACUGGGACUGAGACACGGCCCAGACUCCUACGGGAGGCAGCAGUGGGGAAUAUUGCACAAUGGGCGGAAGCCUGAUGCAGCGACGCCGCGUGAGGGAUGACGGCCUUCGGGUUGUAAACCUCUUUCAGCUCCGACGAAGCGCAAGUGACGGUAGGAGCAGAAGAAGCGCCGGCCAACUAUGUGCCAGCAGCCGCGGUAAGACGUAGGGCGCGAGCGUUGUCCGGAUUUAUUGGGCGUAAAGAGCUCGUAGGCGGCUUGUCGCGUCGACUGUGAAAACCCGCAGCUCAACUGCGGGCUUGCAGCCGAUACGGGCAGGCUAGAGUUCGGUAGGGGAGACUGGAAUUCCUGGUGUAGCGGUGAAAUGCGCAGAUAUCAGGAAGAACACCGGUGGCGAAGGCGUGUCUCUGGGCCGAUACUGACGCUGAGGAGCGAAAGCGUGGGGAGCGAACAGGAUUAGAUACCCUGGUAGUCCACGCUGUAAACGUUGGGCGCUAGGUGUGGGGGGCCUCUCCGGUUCCCUGUGCCGCAGCUAACGCAUUAAGCGCCCCGCCUGGGGAGUACGG